AUGAUACUUGCCAUUACGACCAGCCUCACUCACCAAGACAAAAUCGACAGUGCAUAUUGGUUGAUUCCGAGACGGGUCCAGAAACUAGUAGGCGGAGGUGUUGUUGUUGAUCUGAGCAGCGCGAUCUUGAAGCCGCCGGGGAGGGGAGGCGAAGGCGGCGGCGGUUCUUGCUCCAGCGGGCAGGGGAGGGGACGGCGGCGGUUCAGUUCAGUCACGCGGCGGCCUCCCGAUCCAGAAUCCUUUCUGCAAGCACAGACCAUGAGGCCGUUGACGCCGCCGCAUGUGCCGGGGCUGUGGUGCUGGCACAGCCGGAGGAGGAAGAAGACUCACACACACAAUUAG
rnacentral:rRNA from 1 species